rnacentral:lncRNA from 1 species
UAUUUCAUCAUAUGCAUUUGAUUUUUGGUUCACCAGAAUGCCAAGAUUUCACCUUAUACUAAUGUUCGGUCUGAAAAUUAAAAAGUCUGAACAAUAACUAUUUCUGUCAAGAUCCAAUUUAUCAUUUGAUUUAGUCACAUGCACAGAAAUAGGAAGAUUUGAAUAAAAAGAAAACAUGAAAUGAUUGCAGAAAUGGGCUCAGGGAGUUAAGUCAAAGAGAGUUCUAGGCGAUCCCAAAUAAGUUAACGCCCCUACGACACUUUGCAGGGACAACAAGCCAAAAAAUUGUAAUUAAACCAAAGCGAGUGACUACAAAAGGCAAGGGAGUUAACCAAAUCUAAACAAACACUUGUGAACAAAAGUUGUUAUAUAAAUAGAAUGCUUAUUGAAGGUUUAUUAAGAGUAUUUAGUAGUGUAUACAUUUGACUUUUGUAUUUGUAACCUACAUAGAGUUCUAAUAAUUAUUUUUAGUCUAUAAAAUAUCUUUGAACUUGGCAUCAAAAAGCUGCAAAACUUACAUUCAAAACCACAUUUUCACUUUGCCAUUCAUUUAACAUCUCCAACAUUUGUUAAAUGUUGGAGAUCAGUGUGAUCAGUGAUCAUUUGUAUAAUAUUAUACAAAUGGGUGAAGUAGAGGUGCUACUUGAGCAUGCCCUUGCAUUGCAGAAACAAGCAGAUAUCACAAACACCAAUACUGAUGAUUAUACUUUACUGUCCAAAACCAUUAUUCCCCAUCCUGCAACUAAAAUAUAGGUUUGUGUUUUGAAUCAAAAUAGUCAGAGUAAGCUUUUGCAGUGACUUUUAAUUUGAGAUACUUGUACCUUUUAUUGUGAUAUCACUUUCUAGCAUUUUAGUUUUACCAGAGACUGUCAUAGAAUCGUUGCAAUGAUCCUCUACUGGUGUAAAAUUGAAAGAAAUGCAGGAAAUUUAAUAAGAACAGAGUAAUGAUAAAACUCCCCUGAUGGAGUCUAUAUGAUUUGCUCUUCCUCUUGUAGAUGCCCUCACUUCCAAACUAACCACUGAUACAUGCAACACAAUCAUAUAGAUGAACUAUGCUACUAAAGAUUUAAUAAAACAUUUGGAGGGUUAGAUGAGUGGGAUGAGAUUCAACCUCAACACAAAAAUUAUUUAUUUGAUAAACCCAUCAUCAAUCUUAUCUAAUAUUGUUAAAAGCUAAAUUUUAAAAGCUCAUCCCCCCUGCCCUGCGAAAUGUGAUUAUGUUGGAACUGGAGACAAUCACAGAAGACAGUGAUAUUGAAGAAGUGGAACUGGAAAUCAUCACAGAAGACAGUGAUAGUGAAGAAAUGUAACGAAUUCACACCUAAUUUAAGCUGAAAUUAAGUUUAGUGUUUUUGAAUCAAAACAGUGACAUCUGCAGAGAUCAAGUUUAAUUGAGAUACCUGUACCUUUUAUUGUGAUCUCUGUUUCUAACAUUAUCAUCUUACCGGAAGCUGUCAUGGCAAUAAUCUGGUACUAGUAUAAAUUUGAAAGAAUUGCCAACAAAAUCAAUAAUGAUAGCACUCCCUUGCUUCAGUCUGUAAUUUUUGCUCUUCUUUUUCUAGGAACCCUCACCACAUAACCAGUCACUGAUAUAUAAAGCAAAAUCAUACAGAUUGCAGCAGAGUGUAGGGAACUCUCUAUAGAUACCAUGAUAAAUUGCUUUUAAGUACGGAUCGGAUAAGCCACCAACAGUAUGUCAAGUAGAGGUGCAACUUGACCAAUUGUG